CAGUAUGCAUGGAGAAACUGAUGCAGGAGUGAGGAGGGGAGAUUGCAGAAGUAAAGGCAUGAAGAAAUUGGAGUAGAGAGGUUUUGUGAUUCUGGUGAAGAGGUGGAUGGGGUUCCAGACAUAGUACUUCUUCUCCCACUGAAGUCCAAACAAAGGCAGGCAAAAAGGGAACUGCUUACCCUCUACUAGACCUACAAGCAUUCUGUGUGCUUGUCAAAUUUGAAGACAGGACCACAAACAUUCUGGUUCAAAAAUUUCAAGGUGGUUUAACAGUGCUGCCUCUAAAGACAGAUUAUUUGGAAGCAAAUCCCAGGCAUUCAUUUCAGCUGUAAAAAUUCCAUCUCCAUGGAAUCUCCAGAGAAGAAAACAUGUAGAACUCUAAUACCAGCAACAUACAUCAAAAUACCAGUUUCUUAAUAUCAACAAAUUUUUGGUCCCUGAAGACCCUGUUCUCCUUCCUUAUGACACCAGCAAGUCCUCUGAGGUCAGGACACACUGGUGGAGAGCAUGCCACGAAGACCAUCGUCAUGGCCAAGUCGUGGGGGUCUGGGCUCCUUCAAACAAGAUAGCUAAACAGCCCCAAGAGUCUGAAAUUUGGCUUUGGUAAAACUGGUAAGCAGCAAGUGCUGAAGCUAUAUUUAAAACACUUAGUAUCCCCAGGUUUGUUAGCACAGCUUUGCUGGUCUAAAGAGCUGGUGCUGCGCUCAGAUGGAAUGUUAACACGCCCAUAAAUGAGGUCUGUGUUUGCACAUGUCUAUCAAAAGCGACCUCAAAGAUCAGAGACCAUUUCAAAACUGUGAAGACGUCCACCUGCCUCUUUCUUAAAGCUGGAAAAGAAACAGGGUCUGAACUUUCCAAAGGAGCCUCAAUUAUGUGCAGGUGUCCUGUAAAUUAAGGGUUCAAGAGUUUUAGAGUAUAUGUUCCAAUUGCUAAUUUAAACCAAUUAAGAAAGAACAAAGACUUGAAAACAAACACAUAAAAUUACUUUGUCUCAAAAGAGACUAUGAAUAGCAUCCUAUACAUGGGAAGCCAAAUAGAUCUCAGGAAGCAGCCUCACUGAAUCAGCUACGGUCACUUCUAAAUGGAAAUAAACUGUUAGAUGGAAACAACUAGUAUUUUUUUCUAUUUUGGACACUUGUGCAUAAAUUGAGUGAUUUCGUUGUUGUGAUUAGAUAAAUAACACUUGUUUGAAAUAACUUUGAUCGAUGUCAUUUCACUUGUGUGAGAUUAUAUAACCUAAUUUUUAGGUGGUAAAUUUUGCUGAUUUAGAAUUUA